rnacentral:rRNA from 1 species
UUAAAUUGAAGAGUUUGAUCAUGGCUCAGAUUGAACGCUGGCGGCAGGCCUAACACAUGCAAGUCGAACGGUAACAGGAAGCAGCUUGCUGCUUUGCUGACGAGUGGCGGACGGGUGAGUAAUGUCUGGGAAACUGCCUGAUGGAGGGGGAUAACUACUGGAAACGGUAGCUAAUACCGCAUAACGUCGCAAGACCAAAGAGGGGGACCUUNNGGCUCACCUAGGCGACGAUCCCUAGCUGGUCUGAGAGGAUGACCAGCCACACUGGAACUGAGACACGGUCCAGACUCCUACGGGAGGCAGCAGUGGGGAAUAUUGCACAAUGGGCGCAAGCCUGAUGCAGCCAUGCCGCGUGUAUGAAGAAGGCCUUCGGGUUGUAAAGUACUUUCAGCGGGGAGGAAGGGAGUAAAGUUAAUACCUUUGCUCAUUGACGUUACCCGCAGAAGAAGCACCGGCUAACUCCGUGCCAGCAGCCGCGGUAAUACGGAGGGUGCAAGCGUUAAUCGGAAUUACUGGGCGUAAAGCGCACGCAGGCGGUUUGUUAAGUCAGAUGUGAAAUCCCCGGGCUCAACCUGGGAACUGCAUCUGAUACUGGCAAGCUUGAGUCUCGUAGAGGGGGGUAGAAUUCCAGGUGUAGCGGUGAAAUGCGUAGAGAUCUGGAGGAAUACCGGUGGCGAAGGCGGCCCCCUGGACGAAGACUGACGCUCAGGUGCGAAAGCGUGGGGAGCAAACAGGAUUAGAUACCCUGGUAGUCCACGCCGUAAACGAUGUCGACUUGGAGGUUGUGCCCUUGAGGCGUGGCUUCCGGAGCUAACGCGUUAAGUCGACCGCCUGGGGAGUACGGCCGCAAGGUUAAAACUCAAAUGAAUUGACGGGGGCCCGCACAAGCGGUGGAGCAUGUGGUUUAAUUCGAUGCAACGCGAAGAACCUUACCUGGUCUUGACAUCCACGGAAGUUUUCAGAGAUGAGAAUGUGCCUUCGGGAACCGUGAGACAGGUGCUGCAUGGCUGUCGUCAGCUCGUGUUGUGAAAUGUUGGGUUAAGUCCCGCAACGAGCGCAACCCUUAUCCUUUGUUGCCAGCGGUCCGGCCGGGAACUCAAAGGAGACUGCCAGUGAUAAACUGGAGGAAGGUGGGGAUGACGUCAAGUCAUCAUGGCCCUUACGACCAGGGCUACACACGUGCUACAAUGGCGCAUACAAAGAGAAGCGACCUCGCGAGAGCAAGCGGACCUCAUAAAGUGCGUCGUAGUCCGGAUUGGAGUCUGCAACUCGACUCCAUGAAGUCGGAAUCGCUAGUAAUCGUGGAUCAGAAUGCCACGGUGAAUACGUUCCCGGGCCUUGUACACACCGCCCGUCACACCAUGGGAGUGGGUUGCAAAAGAAGUAGGUAGCUUAACCUUCGGGAGGGCGCUUACCACUUUGUGAUUCAUGACUGGGGUGAAGUCGUAACAAGGUAACCGUAGGGGAACCUGCGGUUGGAUCACCUCCUUACCUUAAAGAAGC